rnacentral:rRNA from 1 species
UACAGAGGUCUCAAGCGUUGUUCGGAUUCAUUGGGCGUAAAGGGUGCGUAGGUGGCGCUGUAAGUCGGGUGUGAAAUUUCGGAGCUUAACUCCGAAACUGCAUUCGAUACUGCGGUGCUUGAGGACUGGAGAGGAGACUGGAAUUCAUGGUGUAGCAGUGAAAUGCGUAGAUAUGCGGAGGAACACCGAUGGCGAAGGCAAUCCCCUGGGCCUGCACUGACGCUCAUGCACGAAAGCGUGGGGAGCAAACAGG